rnacentral:lncRNA from 1 species
CCAUUUGAUUUAUUUCAAGGCAUAUUUUGAACAUAAUGAGUUCAAUAAUUAGGGUUUUUAAUCUUUAUUGUGUCUAGUAUGAUUUAAAAUUUUCAAUUUUACGUAAUCUGGUCAAUUACAGCAAGAAAUUUGAUAUGAACAGUGAGAUGUCUGCGGAACCAAAUUCCACUGUUUUUUUUUUUUUUCCGCCUUUUGAUUUUGUUUUCAUGAUAUAUUAGAAAUAAUGUGUUAAAAGUUUAGGGUUUUGAUUCCUUAUAUUGUUGUUUAUCAGAAAGUAUACUCAAUUGGAUGUAAUUUAUUCACUUAGAGGUGAAUUUUUG